GACGAACGCUGGCGGCGUGCUUAACACAUGCAAGUCGUGCGGUAAGGCCCUUUCGGGGGUACACGAGCGGCGAACGGGUGAGUAACACGUGAGCAACCUGCCCUUCACUUUGGGAUAACUGCCGGAAACGGUGGCUAAUACCGGACAUGACUUCCUCACGCAUGUGGGGUGGUGGAAAGCCUUCGGGUGGUGGGGGAUGGGCUCGCGGUCUAUCAGCUUGUUGGUGGGGUGAUGGCCUACCAAGGCUUCGACGGGUAGCCGGCCUGAGAGGGUGACCGGCCACACUGGGACUGAGACACGGCCCAGACUCCUACGGGAGGCAGCAGUGGGGAAUAUUGGACAAUGGGCGGAAGCCUGAUCCAGCAACGCCGCGUGAGGGAUGACGGCCUUCGGGUUGUAAACCGCUUUCGCCUGCGACGAAGCGAGAGUGACGGUAACAGGUAAAGAAGCACCGGCUAACUACGUG
rnacentral:rRNA from 1 species